UCGAGAAUCUUCCGCAAUGGACGAAAGUCUGACGGAGCGACGCCGCGUGGAGGAUGAAGUGCUUCGGCAUGUAAACUCCUUUUGCCAGGGAAAAAGUUUAUUGAUUGUACCUGGAGAAUAAGAGGUUGCUAAACUCGUGCCAGCAGCAGCGGUAAUACGAGUGCCUCGAGCGUUAUCCGGAAUUAUUGGGCGUAAAGGGUGCGUAGGUGGUUGUGUUAGUCCUUUGUUAAAUUUCCCGGCUCAACCGGGAAGCCGCACGGGAAACGGCACGACUUAGAGGUUGGAAGGGGUUUGCGGAACUCAUGGUGUAGCGGUGAAAUGCGUUGAUAUCAUGGGGAACACCAAAAGCGAAGGCAGCAAACUGGUCCACACCUGACACUGAAGCACGAAAGCGUGGGUCGCGAAUGGGAUUAGAUACCCGCGUAGUCC
rnacentral:rRNA from 1 species